rnacentral:rRNA from 1 species
AGUGAACGCUGGCGGCAGGCCUAACACAUGCAAGUCGAGCGGAUCGGCGGACGGGUGAGUAAUGCAUAGGAAUCUGCCUGGUCGUGGGGGAUAACGUCCGGAAACGGGCCCUAAUACCGCAUACUCUCAGAUGAGCCUAGGUCGGAGUAGCUAGGUGGUGGGUUAAAGGCCUACCAAGGCGACGAUCCGUAACUGGUCUGAGUGGCUGAUCAGUCACACUGGAACGGAGACACGGUCCAGACUCCUACGGGAGGCAGCAGUGGGGAAUAGUGGACAAUGGUCGAAAGCCUGAUCCAGCCAUGCCGCGUGUGUGAAGAAGGUCUUCGGUGUGUAAAGCACUUUAAGUUGGGAGGCGUUACCAACAGAAUAAGCACCGGCUAACUUCGUGCCAGCAGCCGCGGUAAUUC